rnacentral:rRNA from 1 species
UGCCAGACUCCUACGGGAGGCAGCAGUGGGGAAUAUUGCACAAUGGGGGGAACCCUGAUGCAGCGACGCCGCGUGGGUGAAGGAGCACCUCGGUGCGUAAAGCCCUAUCGGCAGGGAAGAAAAGCGAACAGGUUCGCCUGGACGGUACCUGACUAAGAAGCCCCGGCUAACUACGUGCCAGCAGCCGCGGUAAUACGUAGGGGGCAAGCGUUAUCCGGAUUUACUGGGUGUAAAGGGAGCGUAGACGGCGAAGAAAGUCUGAAGUGAAAGCCCGCGGCUCAACCGCGGAACUGCUUUGGAAACUUUUUUGCUGGAGUACCGGAGAGGUAAGCGGAAUUCCUAGUGUAGCGGUGAAAUGCGUAGAUAUCAGGAGGAACACCGGUGGCGAAGGCGGCCUGCUGGACUGCGACUGACGUUGAGGCCCGAAAGCGUGGGGAGCAAACAGGAUUAGAUACCCCCGUAU